rnacentral:rRNA from 1 species
AAAGGAAUUGACGGGGACCCCGACAAGCGGUGGAUGAUGUGGUUUAAUUCGAUGCAACGCGAAAAACCUUACCCACCUUUGACAUGGCAGGAACUUACCAGAGAUGGUUUGGUGCUCGAAAGAGAACCUGCACACAGGUGCUGCAUGGCUGUCGUCAGCUCGUGUCGUGAGAUGUUGGGUUAAGUCCCGCAACGAGCGCAACCCUUGCCAUUAGUUGCUACAUUCAGUUGAGCACUNUAAUGGGACUGCCGGUGACAAACCGGAGGAAGCUGGGGACGACGUCAAGUCAUCAUGGCCCUUACGGGAUGGGCUACACACGUGCUACAAUGGCAAGUACAGAGGGCAGCAAUACCGCGAGGUGGAGCGAAUCCCACAAAGCUUGUCGUAGUCCGGAUUGGAGUCUGCAACUCGACUCCAUGAAGUCGGAAUCGCUAGUAAUCGUAGAUCAGAAUGUUACGGUGAAUACGUUCCCGGGCCUUGUACACACCGCCCGUCACA